rnacentral:lncRNA from 1 species
GACGUCGCGGGGGAUUCCAAGGCAGUCGACGGUGACAAAGGUGUGGAAGCCGGUGAGGGACGGAGGGUGGUAGUCAUAGUCGGAAGCCUGGAAGAGGAAGCGCCGGACGCCGGCGGCUCGUAAGGAGUAGUACUUGUCUCGGAACUUCCGGCAGGAGAUCACGACGUACCAUGACUUGGAGACGGACUUGAACCGGAAGAGGGAUCUCGGGGGGAGGCGGAGGAGAGUGUUGAUGACGAAGCUCGACGGGAGGAGAGGUGACAGGAAGCUUUGUUGGGUAACCACCAUUGUUGCUCUGGUUUCUCUUUGG